GGGCAUAUGCAUGUGCAGACGAGUAAAGGUGGAUGCAGGUAGGCACAGGUGAGUGAAGGUGAGCGCAGGUAGGCACAGGUGAGUGAAGGUGGGCGCAGGUAGGCACAGGUGACUGAAGGUGGGUGCAGGUAGGUACAGGUGAGUGAAGGUGGGUGCAGGUAGGCACAGGUGACUGAAGGUGGGUGCAGGUAGGUACAGGUGAGUGAAGGUGGGUGCAGGUAGGUUCAGGUGAGUGAAGGUAGGCGCAGGUAGGUGCAGGUGAGUGCAGGUAGGCACAGGUGAGUGAAGGUGGGCGCAGGUAGGCACAGGUGAGUGAAGGUGGGUGCAGGUAGGCACAGGUGAGUGAAGGUGGGUGCAGGUAGGUACAGGUGAGUGAAGGUGGGUGCAGGUAGGCACAGGUGAGUGAAGGUGGGCACAGGUAGGCACAGGUGAGUGAAGGUCGGUGCAGGUAGGUACAGGUG
rnacentral:lncRNA from 1 species